rnacentral:rRNA from 1 species
AGAGUUUGAUCCUGGCUCAGAUUGAACGCUGGCGGCAUGCUUUACACAUGCAAGUCGAACGGCAGCACGGACUUCGGUCUGGUGGCGAGUGGCGAACGGGUGAGUAAUAUAUCGGAACGUACCCAAGAGUGGGGGAUAACGUAGCGAAAGUUACGCUAAUACCGCAUACGAUCUAAGGAUGAAAGUGGGGGAUCGCAAGACCUCAUGCUCCUGGAGCGGCCGAUAUCUGAUUAGCUAGUUGGUGAGGUAAAGGCUCACCAAGGCGACGAUCAGUAGCUGGUCUGAGAGGACGACCAGCCACACUGGAACUGAGACACGGUCCAGACUCCUACGGGAGGCAGCAGUGGGGAAUUUUGGACAAUGGGCGCAAGCCUGAUCCAGCAAUGCCGCGUGAGUGAAGAAGGCCUUCGGGUUGUAAAGCUCUUUUGUCAGGGAAGAAACGGUAGAGGCUAAUAUCCUUGCUAAUGA